rnacentral:rRNA from 1 species
GUGCGCACUAUUGGAUGUGCGUCUAAGCACUUAGGCAUGCUUGAUAGGCAAAUCCGUCGAGCUAAGCUGAGGUGUGAUGGGGAGCCAUUUAUGGCGAAGUAUCUGAUUCCACACUGCCAAGAAAAGCCUCUAUCGAGUGAAUAGGUGCCCGUACCGCAAACCGACACAGGUAGGUGAGGAGAGAAUCCUAAGGCCAUCGGAAGAAUUGCUGUUAAGGAACUCGGCAAAUUGACCCCGUAACUUCGGGAGAAGGGGUGCCUACGAAAGUAGGCCGCAGAGAAUAGGCCCAAGCAACUGUUUAGCAAAAACACAGGUCUCUGCUAAAGCGAAAGCUGAUGUAUAGGGGCUGACGCCUGCCCGGUGCUGGAAGGUUAAGGGGAACACUUAGCGUAAGCGAAGGUGUGAACUUAAGCCCCAGUAAACGGCGGCCGUAACUAUAACGGUCCUAAGGUAGCGAAAUUCCUUGUCGGGUAAGUUCCGACCCGCACGAAUGGCGUAAUGAUUUGGGCACUGUCUCAACAGCAAAUCCGGCGAAAUUGUAGUGCAAGUGAAGAUGCUUGCUACCCGCGAUUGGACGGAAAGACCCCGUAGAGCUUUACUGUAGCUUAGCAUUGAAUCUCGGUAUUGUCUGUACA